AGCACCAGAAAUAUCUGCGAACAGCACUGAUGGCUACCACAGUUAGCUAACGGAAUUUAAUUUUAAAAGUGGGUAGAGGAGAACUCAACGAGGAGGCAACGUUGGUGCUGAGGCUUAAACGACAAAGAAGGGGGAACCGUAGGAGCGACGCGUGCGAAGUUCCUAAGGCAGGAGUGGGCUCGAGACAUCCGAGGAACAGAGGAAUGGCUCAAACGUUUGCAGCCUGGAGAUGAGAGUGGGAACUGGGCGGGGGCUGCCCUGUAGGCCACGCUUCCUCAAGCUCAGCUUCCUCUCUGCCCAGAGUCUACUCCACUGUUGCUGGACAUGAAGACAGGAGAAAAAUCAAAGGGAAAGAGAGGAUGAUUUUAACCGAGUGAAGUAAAAAUAUCCUACUUGUUGUAAAUCUUACAAAAACA